AUGGUGCACAUAAAUGUCCUGGCAGAUGUUCUCAAGAGCAUCAACAAUGCUGAAGAGAGAGGCAAAGGCUAGGUUCUUAUUAGGCUUUGCUCCAAAGACAACAUCUGGUUUCUCACUCUGAUGAUGAAGCAUGUUCAAAUGUUCAAAUUUGAACAUUGGCAAAUUUGAGGUCAUCGAUGAUCACAGAGCUGGGAAAAUUGUUGAGAAUCUCUCAGACAAGGUUACACAAGUGUGCAGUGAUCAGGCCCAGAUUCGACAUAUAACUCAAAGAUCUAGAAAAAUGGCAGAAUAAUCUCUUCCCUUCCCCUCUGUUUGGUUUCAUUGUACUGACAACCUCACCUGACAUCAUGGGCCAUGAAGAAGCAAAAUGAAAACACACAGCGAGUAAAAUCCUGGAAUUCUUUU
rnacentral:lncRNA from 1 species